UCCCGUUGGGAUGCAUUCUGUC
rnacentral:miRNA from 1 species